AUUGAACGCUGGCGGCAGGCCUAACACAUGCAAGUCGAACGAGUGGCGGACGGGUGAGCGAUGGCUGGCAAACUGCCUGAUGGAGGGGGAGAACUACUGGAAAAGGUAGCUAAUACCGCAGACCUACGUAUGUGCCGUGAUGGGAUUAGCUAGUAGGUGGGGUAAAGGCUCACCUAGGCGACGAUCCCUAGCGGGUCUGAGAGGAUGACCAGCCACACUGGAACGGAGACACGGUCCAGACUCCGACGAGGGGCAGCAGUAGGGAAUAUUGCGCAAUGGGCGCAAACCGGAUGCAGCAAUGCCGCGUGUAUGAAGAAGGCUUUCGGGUUUUAAAGUGCUUUCAGCAGGGAGGCGUUACCCGCAGAGAAAGCACCGGCUAACUCCGUGCCAGCAGCCGCGGUAAUUC
rnacentral:rRNA from 1 species